UGAGAAGUAUUUUAAUGAAAAAUAAGGGUUUUUGAUACCCUAGAUGUGAGGUCAAUUCUCACUUUCUCAG
rnacentral:tRNA from 1 species